UACGUAGGUGGCAAGCGUUGUCCGGAUUUAUUGGGCGUAAAGGGCGCGCAGGUGGUGUGCUAAGUCUGCCGUGAAAUCUCCCGGCUCAACUGGGAGGCUGCGGUGGAGACUGGUGCGCUUGAGGUACCUAGAGGUCGGUGGAAUUCCCGGUGUAGUGGUGAAAUGCGUAGAUAUCGGGAGGAACACCUGUGGCGAAAGCGGCUCACUGGACCACAACUGACGCUGAUGCACGAAAGCUAGGGGAGCAAACAGG
rnacentral:rRNA from 1 species